CACAUCACAUUGAAACACCAUUUCCCAUACAGUCACCAAAGUUAAGCAACAUUGAGCCUGGUCAGCACCAAGAUGGGUGAUGGCUUGGGAAUACCAGGUGCUGUA